rnacentral:rRNA from 1 species
UAGAAGUUUGAUUCCUUGGCUUCAAAAUGAACGCUUGGCGGCGUGCCUAACACAUGCAAGUCGAACGCGAAAGCCCUGCUUGCAGGGCGAGUAGAGUGGCGAACGGGUGAGUAACGCGUGGGUAACCUACCCCUCAGUUGGGGAUAAUCCCGCGAAAGUGGGUCUAAUACCGGAUGACAUCGCCUCUCCUCGGAGGGGUGAUCAAAGAUGGCCUCUGGUACAAGCUAUCGCUGGGGGAGGGGCUCGCGUCCUAUUAGCUUGUUGGUGGGGUAACGGCCCACCAAGGCGACGAUGGGUAGCCGGCCUGAGAGGGUGUCCGGCCACACUGGAACUGAGACACGGUCCAGACUCCUACGGGAGGCAGCAGUGGGGAAUUUUUCGCAAUGGGCGAAAGCCUGACGAAGCGACGCCGCGUGGACGAUGAAGGCCUUCGGGUCGUAAAGUCCUGUCGGGUGGGAAGAAAAGUAUGAGCUCGAAUAAAGCUCAUGCUUGACGGUACCACCCAAGGAAGCCCCGGCCAACUCCGUGCCAGCAGCCGCGGUAAUACGGGGGGGGCAAGCGUUAUUCGGAAUCACUGGGCGUAAAGGGCGUCUAGGCGGUCGGGUAAGUCGUGGGUGAAAGCCCCCGGCUCAACCGGGGAAGUGCCUGCGAAACUAUCCGACUUGAGGUCGGGAGAGGAAAGUGGAAUUCCCAGUGUAGCGGUGAAAUGCGCAGAUAUUGGGAGGAACACCAGUGGCGAAAGCGGCUUUCUGGACCGACCCUGACGCUGAAGCGCGAAAGCUAGGGGAGCGAACGGGAUUAGAUACCCCGGUAGUCCUAGCCGUAAACGAUGGGCACUUGGUGUAGCAGGAUUUAAAACCUGCUGUGCCGAAGCUAACGCAUUAAGUGCCCCGCCUGGGGAGUACGGCCGCAAGGCUGAAACUCAAAGGAAUUGACGGGGGCCCGCACAAGCGGUGGAGCAUGUGGUUUAAUUCGAUGCAACGCGAAGAACCUUACCGGGGCUUGAAGUGUGGUUGACAGGAUGAGAAAUUAUCCCUU